rnacentral:rRNA from 1 species
AUUGAACGCUGGCGGCAUGCCUUACACAUGCAAGUCGAACGGUAACGGGUCCUUCGGGAUGCCGACGAGUGGCGAACGGGUGAGUAAUAUAUCGGAACGUGCCCAGUAGUGGGGGAUAACUGCUCGAAAGAGCAGCUAAUACCGCAUACGACCUGAGGGUGAAAGGGGGGGAUCGCAAGACCUCUCGCUAUUGGAGCGGCCGAUAUCAGAUUAGCUAGUUGGUGGGGUAAAGGCCUACCAAGGCAACGAUCUGUAGUUGGUCUGAGAGGACGACCAGCCACACUGAGACUGAGACACGGCCCAGACUCCUACGGGAGGCAGCAGUGGGGAAUUUUGGACAAUGGGCGCAAGCCUGAUCCAGCAAUGCCGCGUGCAGGAAGAAGGCCUUCGGGUUGUAAACUGCUUUUGUCAGGGAAGAAAUCUUCUGGGCUAAUACCCCGGGAGGAUGACGGUACCUGAAGAAUAAGCACCGGCUAACUACGUG